rnacentral:rRNA from 1 species
GGCGAACGCUGGCGGCGUGCCUAAUACAUGCAAGUCGAGCGGACCGGAUUGGGGCUUGCCUUGAUUCGGUCAGCGGCGGACGGGUGAGUAACACGUGGGCAACCUGCCCGCAAGACCGGGAUAACUCCGGGAAACCGGAGCUAAUACCGGAUAACACCGAAGACCGCAUGGUCUUCGGUUGAAAGGCGGCCUUUGGGCUGUCACUUGCGGAUGGGCCCGCGGCGCAUUAGCUAGUUGGUGAGGUAACGGCUCACCAAGGCGACGAUGCGUAGCCGGCCUGGGAGGGUGACCGGCCACACUGGGACUGAGACACGGCCCAGACUCCUACGGGAGGCAGCAGUAGGGAAGCUGCCGCAAUGGGCGAGAGCCUGACGGAGCGACGCCGCGUGAGCGAAGAAGGCCUUCGGGUCGUAAAGCUCUGUUGUGAGGGACGAGGGAGCGUCGUUCGAAGAGGGCGGCGCGGUGACGGUACCUCACGAGAAAGCCCCGGCUAACUACGUG